CUUUAGCCCCGGUAGAAGUGAAAAUCCUUCUAAGCUGGUGUUCAGCUUAGAAGAUUGCAACGGAUGGCGGGACAAAUG
rnacentral:sRNA from 1 species